UGCGAUCAUACCAUCACUAAUACACCGGAUCCCAUCAGAACUCCGCAGUUAAGCGUGCUUGGGCGAGAGUAGUACUAGGAUGGGUGACCCCUUGGGAAGUCCUCGUGUUGCA
rnacentral:rRNA from 1 species